rnacentral:rRNA from 1 species
CGGAGCUAACGCGUUAAGUAGACCGCCUGGGGAGUACGGUCGCAAGAUUAAAACUCAAAUGAAUUGACGGGGGCCCGCACAAGCGGUGGAGCAUGUGGUUUAAUUCGAUGCAACGCGAAGAACCUUACCUACUCUUGACAUCCAGAGAACUUUCCAGAGAUGGAUUGGUGCCUUCGGGAACUCUGAGACAGGUGCUGCAUGGCUGUCGUCAGCUCGUGUCGUGAGAUGUUGGGUU